UGCAUGUUACAAUAUUCAUGUACUAUUUGGAAAACAAUAAUAUUAGAUUCAAGUCACGCAAGAAACAGUUCAGCUUUCUUUGUCUGAAUGAUUUAGUAGUUGUGGUGCCCACAGUGAAGCGAAUGUGUAAUGAAAUAACCAAAAUCCGAGUCAUGGUCAGUCGGUCAGAAACCAGAAAUUAUAGGAAUUGGGGUGACCUCGUAUCUAAAAAGCAAAACCGCCGGUAUGCUGCAAAAUGCCUUAGAGCGUGGCGAAUUAUCUGCAUUACGCAGAUUUCAAUGGGAAUUCCCAAUUUUCUAAAUUUCAUGCACAUUACAAUAUAAUUCCACGAAACAAUUCUAUUCAUAGAAUUAAAGUUGCUUCUCAAGUUUCACAUUUCUGACAGAUAACGCAAUAUAUUGUUAUCAGAUAUUAGACAUCCAUGUGAAGUAUUUUGCACGCGAACCUUCCCACAGCGGUUGUGCGAAUAUCCUACGUUAUGAAAACACCGUUGCAGUAAUAAAGAUAUUCGGCUUGUCUGUUGCUGUCUGCCUUUGACAGCGUCACCGAGAGGGUGGGUGGCCCGAUGGGGCCUACCAUACAGAAUAUACCAGGUCCUACGAAAACCAUAAUUCACUCAGAAAUUGUAGACAAAAUUUAUAAACUAUCAAUGAUGCGGUGAAAGUAUUACGAAAAUGCCAUAGAAGGGACCCACUUCUUUUCUCAGUUGUUCCAUCGAUUGCGACGAUGUGUAGAGAGGAACGGAUAUAACUUCGAAAAACAAUAAAAGUAUUGGCAACUUUCUACAUUAAGCCGUUUUUCAUUUUCUAAACAGUUUCAGUGUUACCUAGGUACUACAUUUUACAUUUUC